rnacentral:rRNA from 1 species
GAUGAACGCUGGCAGCGUGCUUAACACAUGCAAGUCGAACGAAGCACCUCUCCCGAAGAUUGACACAGCUUGCUGUAGAUUGAUUCAUUUGAGGUGACUGAGUGGCGGACGGGUGAGUAACGCGUGGGUAACCUGCCUCAUAGAGGGGGACAACAGUUGGAAACGACUGCUAAUACCGCAUAGUAAGAAGAAUUCGCAUGUUUUCUUCUUGAAAGAUUUAUCGCUAUGAGAUGGACCCGCGUCUGAUUAGCUAGUUGGUAAGGUAACGGCUUACCAAGGCGACGAUCAGUAGCCGGCUUGAGAGAGUGAACGGCCACAUUGGGACUGAGACACGGCCCAAACUCCUACGGGAGGCAGCAGUGGGGAAUAUUGCACAAUGGGGGAAACCCUGAUGCAGCGACGCCGCGUGAGUGAAGAAGUAUUUCGGUAUGUAAAGCUCUAUCAGCAGGGAAGAUAAUGACGGUACCUGACUAAGAAGCCCCGGCUAACUACGUG